AGUGGCGCACGGGUGAGUAACGCGUGGGAACCUGCCCUGAGGUUCGGAAUAACGAUUGGAAACGAUCGCUAAUACCGGAUGAGCCCUGAGGGGGAAAGAUUUAUCGCCUUGGGAGGGGCCCGCGUCCGAUUAGCUUGUUGGUGUGGUAACGGCGCACCAAGGCUUCGAUCGGUAGCUGGUCUGAGAGGAUGAUCAGCCACACUGGGACUGAGACACGGCCCAGACUCCUACGGGAGGCAGCAGUGGGGAAUAUUGGACAAUGGGGGCAACCCUGAUCCAGCAAUGCCGCGUGUGUGAAGAAGGCCUUAGGGUUGUAAAGCACUUUCAGUCGUGACGAUGAUGACGGUAACGACAGAAGAAGCCCCGGCUAACUCCGUGCCAGCAGCCGCGGUAAUACGGAGGGGGCAAGCGUUGUUCGGAAUUACUGGGCGUAAAGGGCGCGUAGGCGGCCAAGUCAGUCAGGCGUGAAAGCCCAGGGCUCAACCCUGGAAUUGCGCUUGAUACUGCUUGGCUCGAGACCGGAAGAGGGUAGUGGAAUUCCCAGUGUAGAGGUGAAAUUCGUAGAUAUUGGGAAGAACACCAGUGGCGAAGGCGGCUACCUGGUCCGGAGCUGACGCUGAGGCGCGAAAGCGUGGGGAGCAAACAGGAUUAGAGACCCUGG
rnacentral:rRNA from 1 species